AACGCACAUUGCGCCCUCUGGUAUUCCGGGGGGCAUGCUUGUUCGAGCGUCAUUACAACCCUCAAGCUCUUGCUUGGUAUUGGGUGGCCAGUCCUUUAGGACUCACCCGAAAAGCAGCGGCGAUUCAGCCAGACUUUGGGCGCAUUAAUUAAUAUCAUUCGCUUUGAAGUUUCUGGGUGGCAUUUGCCGGACAACCCACCUAUAUUUUCUAUGGUUGACCUCGGAUCAAGUAGGAAUACCCGCUGAACUUAA
rnacentral:misc_RNA from 1 species